CUCGCCGUAGUUCAAUGGAUAGAACGAGUGCCUCCUAAGCGCUAGAUACAGGUCCGAUUCCUGUCGGCGGGACCA
rnacentral:tRNA from 2 species